UACGUAGGGGGCAAGCGUUGUCCGGAAUUAUUGGGCGUAAAGAGCGUGUAGGCGGUCCGGUAAGUCAGCUGUGAAAGUCAAGGGCUCAACCCUUGAAUGCCGGUUGAUACUGUCGGGCUAGAGUCCGGAAGAGGCGAGUGGAAUUCCCGGUGUAGCGGUGAAAUGCGCAGAUAUCGGGAGGAACACCAAUGGCGAAGGCAGCUCGCUGGACGGUACUGACGCUGAGACGCGAAAGCGUGGGGAGCAAACAGG
rnacentral:rRNA from 1 species